rnacentral:rRNA from 1 species
UACGUAGGGUGCGAGCGUUAAUCGGAAUUACUGGGCGUAAAGCGUGCGCAGGCGGUCCGCAAAGUCUGAUGUGAAAGCCCUGGGCUCAACCUGGGAACUGCAUUGGAAACUAACGGGCUCGAGUGUGGCAGAGGGGGGUGGAAUUCCACGUGUAGCAGUGAAAUGCGUAGAGAUGUGGAGGAACACCGAUGGCGAAGGCAGCCCCCUGGGCUAACACUGACGCUCAGGCACGAAAGCGUGGGGAGCAAACAGG